AACGUAGGACGCAAGCGUUAUCCGGAGUUACUGGGCGUAAAGCGCGGGCAGGCGGUCUUGCCAGUCUGAUGUGAAAUCUCUCAGCUCAACUGGGAGCAGCCAUUGGAAACUACAAGACUGGAGUCUGACAGAGGUAGGCGGAAUUCCGGGUGGAGUGGUGAAAUGCGUAGAGAUCGGGAAGAACAUCAGUGGCGAAGGCGGCCUGCUGGGCUGUUGCUGACGCUGAGGCGCGACAGCGUGGGGAGCAAACAGG
rnacentral:rRNA from 1 species